rnacentral:rRNA from 1 species
GAUGAACGCUGGCGGCGUGCCUAAUACAUGCAAGUCGAACGAAACUUCUUUAUCACCGCGUGCUUGCACUCACCGAUAAAGAGUUGAGUGGCGAACGGGUGAGUAACACGUGGGCAACCUGCCCAAAAGAGGGGGAUAACACUUGGAAACAGGUGCUAAUACCGCAUAACCAUAGUUACCGCAUGGUAACUAUGUAAAAGGUGGCUAUACUACCGCUUUUGGAUGGGCCCGCGGCGCAUUAGCUAGUUGGUAGGGUAAAGGCUUACCAAGGCAAUGAUGCGUAGCCGAAUUGGGAGGUGGACCGGCACAAUGGGGCUGGGGAACGGGCCAAAACCCCUACGGGGGGCAGCGGUGGGGAAUUUUCCAAAAGGGGGGAAAGCCGGAUGGGGCAACGCCGGGGGGGGGAAGAGGGUUUCCGGUUGUAAAAACCCUGUUGUUGGGAAAAAAAGUGGGUGGGGGAAACGUUCCCCGUUUGGAGGGGACUAAACCAAAAAGCCCCGGUAAAUUACGG